GACGAACGCUGGCGGCGUGCUUAACACAUGCAAGUCGAACGGAAAGGCCCUGCUUUUGUUGCUUGCUCGUUUGCCGAACAGGUGUGUAACACGCGAGUAUCCUGCACUUAUCUUUGGGAUAACUUCAGGAAACUGGGGCUACUACCGCAGAUGAGCUCCUGCUCCAUGUUGUGCGUUGGUAAGAUUCGGCGUUUGUGGAUGUACUCGCGGCUUAUCAGCUUGUUGGUAAGGUAACGGCUUACAAAGGCAACGAUGCAUAGCCGACCUGAGAGGGUGAUCGGCCACACUGGAACUGAGACACGGUCCAGACUCCUACGGGAGGCAGCAGUAGGGAAUCUUCCGCAAUGGGCGAAAGCCUGACGGAGCAACGCCGCGUGAGUGAUGAAGGUCUUCGGAUCGUAAAACUCUGUUAUUAGGGAAGAACAUAUGUGUAAGUAACUGUGCACAUCUUGACGGUACCUAAUCAGAAAGCCACGGCUAACUACGUG
rnacentral:rRNA from 1 species